rnacentral:rRNA from 1 species
ACGAACGCUGGCGGCAUGCCUAACACAUGCAAGUCGAACGAGACCUUCGGGUCUAGUGGCGCACGGGUGCGUAACGCGUGGGAACCUGCCCUUAGGUUCGGAAUAACUCCCCGAAAGGGGUGCUAAUACCGGAUAAUGUCUUCGGACCAAAGAUUUAUCGCCUUUGGAUGAGCCCGCGUUGGAUUAGCUAGUUGGUAGGGUAAAAGCCUACCAAGGCGACGAUCCAUAGCUGGUCUGAGAGGAUGAUCAGCCACACUGGGACUGAGACACGGCCCAGACUCCUACGGGAGGCAGCAGUGGGGAAUAUUGGACAAUGGGCGAAAGCCUGAUCCAGCAAUGCCGCGUGAGUGAUGAAGGCCUUAGGGUUGUAAAGCUCUUUUACCCGGGAUGAUAAUGACAGUACCGGGAGAAUAAGCUCCGGCUAACUCCGUG